GAUUUAAAAUUUUGUCCUGCAUUUUUUAUAGUUGUAAUCAUCAUUAUUGUCCUGCAUUUUUUAUUUUUCAUUCUUUACGGACCUGCAAUUUUCAUUAGUUUACUGAAAUUGUUUUCAUAAAUUGUCAUCCUGCUUGUUAUGCCAAAUUACUGAUCCUGCCUUUGUUUGUUCAAAAACCUGUCUUGCCUUUUUUUCAAAUUUCAUCCAAGCCCCCCCCCCCCCCCCUCCUCAAAUGAAGGUGAAUAGGACCUUUAUAGGGACUCCGGGAUCGAGUGUUUUUAAGGUCAGGAUUUAGGGAUUGACACUUUCGAGAUCCGGAAAUUCUUUUUUCGAAUUUCGGGAUGUCAGGAUUUAAAUUUAUUUAAAUUCGGGACCUCGCGGAUCAGGAUUUCGUUUUUUAAGCCGGGAUUUCGGGAUCAGGACCCCUCCUAUCCCCCCCUCAAAGGGUAGCUCCCUCCGACAAUAAAAUUUUAACAAAAUAAAUAAUAAUCCCUGGACAAUUACACAAUUCUUAUGUUUUUAGAUCUUCUUAUCAAAUUGAUUAAAUCAAAACUGAAUUGACUCCACAAUACUUUGUUUUUAAACAAAACAUGAGGUUUAAUUUUGAAGGAAAUACACUAUGGCCCUAGUAAUACAUGUAGUAAUGUAAAAAGAUUACUAAUAAUUUAUAAUUUUAUAAUUGCUGUCAUAUUUUUUAAAGUGCAAUUGAAUAUUUAUUGCAUGAUUUAUAUUCAUGUAAAAAGUUAGAAGAUACCCAAAGGGAUAAUCAACCACCAGUGCAUCAUUUACAUGUCACGGAACAAGGCAAAAAGAAGAAAAAAAACGUCCUUCUCAGUUCAAAAAACACUACACAUAUUUUUGCUUUCUGAAUUCAUCUGAAUAAAAAAAAACUAUAUCUUUCUAGUAUCUUUUUCCAACCUUUAUCCUGACAGGUGUAGAAAAUUAACGGGUGUCUUCUAUUCCGUCCGCAGUUUUAGGGAAAGUAAAGUCCAUAUUUAGAAUCAUAGUUGAAACUGAAACUACACAUGUAUGAUAUAAAUAGAACAUGUCAUUUUCGCUUUAUCAAAUUUAAAUUUCGAAGGGAUAGCAAAAUUUCUUAUUUUCUUUUGUUGUGCUUUUGUCAUGUUAACUUGUGAAUCUUUCCGAUUUUUUUUUAUCAAAUGCAAUUUUGAAAUAAAUAUAAAAAAGAAAGUGUGGUGUUAUUGCAAGUGACAAGUGAAAAUGUUUCUUCUCAAGUCUCAAUUCAAGAUUAUUACUGAAUAGAGUAAUCAUUCUCUAUAAUAAUAAGGGGCCCAAAAAUAAUGUGAAACUUGUAACUGCCGUGCUUUCAACUAAAACCCAGUUGUAUCUAAUUUUCAUAACCUCUGCAGAAAUACUAAAAACAUUCUAUGUUUAACAAACUUAAUUUAACAGUAUAAGGAUGUCAGCUCUAUUUCAUCUCUCAUGAGCCGUGGUUCUUUGCACCAAUGGUUUUGUCGUUAAGUUUUGAAUUGUAUAUUUUUGAAUCUGGCCAAAAGACCAAUAAAUUGAAAAUCUUGAUCAUGUAAAGCAUCUGCCAACUUUAAAGCUUUUCCCUAUGAAUCAUGUGUAUUUUUGGCGUGUCAUGCUUUUAAUUUCAACAGCUCUUGUCUCAAAUCAAAAAUCAGUUACAUCCUUUUUUGCCCUUGCAACUGAAAGUCGGGGGGUUGGGUUAUUGUUUUACCCCUGUCCGUUUGUCCUUCCGUCCGUCCCAUUAUUGGUAUAUAGUUAUUUGGCAUAACCCCUGCUACUGUUUGAUUUCUAGGAAGUUUUCACUUUGCUGUCUGUUGAGUAGUUAAGUACGUACUCUGCGCUUCAAUAGAAACGAUUCCCU
rnacentral:lncRNA from 1 species